GACGAACGCUGGCGGCGUGCUUAACACAUGCAAGUCGAACGAAGAGCGAUGGAAGCUUGCUUCUAUCAAUCUUAGUGGCGAACGGGUGAGUAACGCGUAAUCAACCUGCCCUUCAGAGGGGGACAACAGUUGGAAACGACUGCUAAUACCGCAUACGAUCUGACCUCGGCAUCGAGGAUAGAUGAAAGGUGGCCUCUACAUGUAAGCUAUCACUAAAGGAGGGGAUUGCGUCUGAUUAGCUAGUUGGAGGGGUAACGGCCCACCAAGGCGAUGAUCAGUAGCCGGUCUGAGAGGAUGAACGGCCACAUUGGGACUGAGACACGGCCCAGACUCCUACGGGAGGCAGCAGUGGGGAAUCUUCCGCAAUGGACGAAAGUCUGACGGAGCAACGCCGCGUGAGUGAUGACGGCCUUCGGGUUGUAAAGCUCUGUUAAUCGGGACGAAAGGCCUUUUUGCGAAUAGUGAGAAGGAUUGACGGUACCGGAAGAGAAAGCCACGGCUAACUACGUG
rnacentral:rRNA from 1 species